UGUGAACCACUCAUUCACCUCCUCCUUCCAGUGGUUGGUGAACAGGAGAUCCGCUUCACCCCUCAACCUUUUGCUGACCUGGUGCAGGUUGUCUUUGCACUCACCCAAUGGGCUCCGACCCAAGGCCACCAUCAUCACCUUGUUUUUGCCAAAGAACAUCCGGCUGUGCUUCCAGGCAUUCCGGAUGUCCUUCAGCUUGCUGUUCCACGUGUUGGCCACAGAGAGAUGGAAAGUUCUGUAGGUCAGAAGCCAGCACUGCCUGGCGGAUUCUCUGCUCAUGGUCU
rnacentral:lncRNA from 10 species